rnacentral:lncRNA from 1 species
UCCUCGGGGGCCCGCGGGGCCGCGACUUCCCCAACUUGGCACAGACGUAGCCGGGGGGCGAGGGUCCCCUCCCGAGGCGGCCGCGGGGGCGGGGGAGGCGGGUGGGACCCGGGUGGGACCCGCCACCCUCCCGGGCCGAGGCGCGCGGCUGCCGGCGCUCCAGCCGGGGGAUCCACAGCCGCCUCGGGCGCCGGGACGCGGGGGACGCGCCGGGAAGCCGGGGGGAGGCAGGGACGCGGGGAGAAGCGGAGGGACACGGGGGGACGCGGAGGGGGGGGCGCGCACCCGGCCGGGCCAGCAGCUGCCCAACUUCGCGAGCCCCUCGCGCCCCCACCCCACCCGCCCACCCCGCGCGGCGGCCAGGGCGCCGGCACCCACCUGGCGGCCGCGGGCGCAGUCCGGGACGGAAGCCGGAGCCUGCGGGCGGCGGAGCGGCGGGCGGAGCUAGGGGGCGCGGGCUCCCGGGGCGGGGACGGGCUGAGCACGCGGAGCGGCGGCGGCGGCGGCGGCGGGGCGCCUUCCUCCCGGCGCGCGGGCCCGGCCGGGUCCGCCGCUCGCCCUCUGCUCCCGGGCGCGGCUCGCAGGCCCUCCCGCGGGGCGGCUCCGCGCUCCCGGCCGCCCGCGCCCCGCCCCCGCGCCCCGCCCGCGCCCCGCCCCCCCGCGCGCCCCGCCCCCGCCCCGCCCCCUCGGGCUCGCGGGGGGUGGGAGCGGGUCCCCCCGCACGGCGACCUCCGGGGCGCGCGCGCGGCUCCCGGGGCUCCUGCGGGCGGACCGGCCGGGCAGCCCGGGCCGGGGGGAAGUGUCCUCUGGCUCCGCCCGAGCCCCGGGCCCCUCACGCAGCCCUGCCCGGCGGCCACCCCGGCUGCCGCGAGCGAGGCCGAGGAAAAUGUCCGACUGUCGUCCUCCGGCGCGAGCAGGGGAGGACCCUCCCGGGGGACCGGGGACCCCCCCCCCCCGCGCUCGGGAACCCCGCGGGGACCGCGCGCACCGUGCAGACGGGCCGGGGUUGACCUGCGGGAAGGGGCAGCCCCGGCCCUGCAUCCAGGCGGCCUCGCCCAGGGCUUCGCGGGGCUUCCCUGCCCGCACCCCAGCCCGGGGGCCCCCGCGUCCCCGCCGAGCUCCUCCCGUCCGCCGGCGCAUCCUCCCGCACCCCCAAAGCUUCCUCCGACACCCGCAGCGCGCCCAGCGCGCGCCCUCCGACUUCUUCGCCCCGAGAAUGCGGGUGCGGAACUCCGGGGCCAACUCCCCCCGAGCCUCACCCGAAAGCGGGAGAAGACAGGGUGCCGGGAAUCUGGGAAGUUCCAGCUGGAAGGUUCUCGACCCGCGGGCGGCGGGCGGCGUGCUGCGUGUGACUGA